UUCACUAGUGAGUAGUGAGAGUGUGAGCCAUCACAGUGGGUCUGACUCCCUUGCUGAUCAUUCAGGUUGGGCAAGUGUCACAGUCCUGGCAAGUGAGACCUGAGUGAAGUUCUGCAGGGGACCCUCUGUGCUGCCGUGACAUGUCUAUUCCCAGGUCUGCAGAAAUCAAAGCAAUCUAAAUGUAAAGAGGGUAUCUUGAUAUCCAAUUCUGAACAAAUGGAUCAUUUAUUUGCUUUCAAAGUCACUUUUGCCAUUGUCAAACCAAAGAAGAGAAAAAUUAUCAGUUAACUGGAAGUGUUUGUUUGAUAUUACAGGAAGGUCUAAUGGUCAAAGGUUUAAACUUGGAAAGCAAUCCUAUUGCAAUGCAGCUGUUGCUGAUUUUAUGAGAAGACAUGGUCAAAGGGAAGAAGGAAUGAAAUGGCAUAGCUGUAAAAAAAAAAAAAAAGAAUCAAAUAGACAUUAAUUAAGUUUGGCUGGUAUGUCCAAGUUUGGGAUCAUAGUGAUUAUUGCAGAAAGGAAUCAAUAAAAUGGUCUUUCAAAAACUGUU